rnacentral:lncRNA from 1 species
GCCAUUCUAGUCUCCCAGCCAUUCUUAGGAAGAGACGUGCCUGUCUCUGGGAAGAGGCAACUUCUCUGCAUGUCAGAGGUUUUCUCAUCCACUCCUGAGAUUCAGACACAAGGAGCAUGGAUUACCCACUGGAAGUCUCACAAGCAUCUCACAUUCCAGUCUGUUGUGGCUACUGUGCUGUGCCAACCAGAAUCCCUGCUAUGAUGGAAGGCCCCCCUUCAUCAGCUACUGAGAAGGUUGUCAGCUUAUGGCUCAGCUAUUAGCCUUUUCCACGAAUGGCCAUCAGCUGAAGGGAACCAUAUCACCCAAGGUCUGUUACAUUUCCCAGAAUGGUUCCCAGUGCUGGAGAUAAUUCCUUUUCGGAGAACCUACAUUUCUCACCUGCUGAUUGCAAUUAGCCACUACCAGCUGGGGCCUGGUGUGCAGCUGAAAAGCUAACAAGAAGUGGAGACCACGCGGAACUCAGACAGGGCAUAGGAUGUGCAUAAAUAAGCAACGGUGCCUGUGUUUAUGAGAUGCUCCUGUGAAUUCGAGGCUUCCCCACCCUCUGCAUAACUCUCCCUCUUCUGGCUUUGUGCUGCACACCCCUCCCCUAACUAUAUUUUUUGUCUCUGGUUUUGUAGCCUACGUUUAACAUCACAGUCACGAAUUUACCACUAAGUACAUUUUGUUAGGCAAUAAACAGCCUUGGAAGAAAAA